rnacentral:rRNA from 1 species
GGAAGUAAAAGUCGUAACAAGGUUUCCGUAGGUGAACCUGCGGAAGGAUCAUUCACACAUUAAAUUCACAUAACGUGAACCAGUCAGUUGUACUAAUUAUUUAGUGCAAUUGGCUAUAAACAUAUGUUGGGUUAAUUAUCAAGACUUACCUAAGCUUUAUUAACUAUCAGCGAUGGAUGUCUUGGCUCCCACAACGAUGAAGGCCGCAGCAAAAUGCGAAACGCAUUGUGAUUUGCGGAAUUCUGUGAAUCAAUAGGUCGCUGAACGCAAACGGCACUACUCUCUGAGUAGUAGGUGUGUUUCAGUCUCAGAUACAAUCUCAUCAAACAAUUUGUAUUAUUACAAGUUGCUAUUGAUGAGUUAAGGUGCUGCUCGAUUCGUCUGGCAGUCGCAGUGUUCUAUAACAGUUCAUUAGGUUAACAUAUUGGUUUAUCAUAUGUUGCUGAAGAACUACUAAGUUAUAGCAUACUAUACCCUAUGAGCCGAAAUCAGACCAGGCUACCCGCUGGACUUAAGCAUAUUAGUCAGCGGAGGA